rnacentral:rRNA from 1 species
AUAGCGUAUAUUAAAGUUGUUGCAGUUAAAAAGCUCGUAGUUGAACCUUGGGCCUGGCUGGCCGGUCCGCCUCACCGCGUGCACUGGUUCGGCCGGGCCUUUCCCUCUGGGGAGCCGCAUGCUCUUCACUGAGUGUGUCGGGGAACCAGGACUUUUACUGUGAAAAAAUUAGAGUGUUCAAAGCAGGCCUAUGCUCGAAUACAUUAGCAUGGAAUAAUAGAAUAGGACGUGUGGUUUUUUUUUGUUGUUUUCUAGGACCGCCGUAAUGAUUAAUAGGGACAGUCGGGGGCAUCAGUAUUCAAUUGUCAGAGGUGAAAUUCUUGGAUUUAUUGAAGACUAACUACUG